rnacentral:tRNA from 1 species
GCGCUUGUAGCUCAGCAGGAUAGAGCAGCCGCCUCCUAAGCGGCAGGUCGGACGUUCAAAUCGUCUCAAGCGCGCCA